rnacentral:rRNA from 1 species
UCGGGAAUAUUGCGCAAUGGAGGAAACUCUGACGCAGUGACGCCGCGUGCAGGAAGAAGGUUUUCGGAUUGUAAACUGCUUUAGACAGGGAAGAAACAAGACAGUACCUGUAGAAUAAGCUCCGGCUAACUACGUGCCAGCAGCCGCGGUAAUACGUGGGGAGCAAGCGUUAUCCGGAUUUAUUGGGUGUAAAGGGUGCGUAGACGGGAAUGCAAGUUGGUUGUGAAAUCCCUCGGCCCAACCGAGGAAUUGCAACCAAAACUAUAUUUCUUGAGUGCUGGAGAGGAAAGUGGAAUUCCUAGUGUAGCGGUGAAAUGCGUAGAUAUUAGGAGGAACACCAGUGGCGAAGGCGACCUUCUGGACAGUAACUGACGUUGAAGCACGAAAGUGUGGGGAGCAAACAGGAUUAGAUACC